UACAGAGGUCUCAAGCGUUGUUCGGAUUCAUUGGGCGUAAAGGGUGCGUAGGCGGCGCGGUAAGUCGGGUGUGAAAUCUCGGAGCUUAACUCCGAAACUGCAUUCGAUACUGCCGUGCUUGAGGACUGGAGAGGAGACUGGAAUUUACGGUGUAGCGGUGAAAUGCGUAGAUAUCGUAAGGAAGACCAGUGGCGAAGGCGGGUCUCUGGACAGUUCCUGACGCUGAAGCGCGAAAGCGUGGGGAGCAAACGGG
rnacentral:rRNA from 1 species